AAAAAAAUAAACUUAUCUGUGAUCCAACAUCGAGGCCAGGUUCUUCAUACAACUCAAACCUCAUCCAGUGACAUCACUACAGGGGUAGAGACGUGCUAAAGGAUAGCAGAUCGAGCAGCUUCCUGUCAGACCAGGUAAAGGAUGACAAAGCUUGUAUAACACGGUCCGUGAGGUCACACUUGCGAGAGUGACUGUAGGGAAGAAGAUGUUCUGUGCAUCCUCCUCCCACCUGGCAUUGCACCACCUUAUGUUAGAACCAGCCCUACCUUCUGGGA